AAGGAUCAUUAUUGAAAUAAACCUGAUGGGUUGUUGCUGGUUCUCCAGGGAGCAUGUGCACACCUUGUCAUCUUUAUAUCUCCACCUGUGCACUCUUUGUAGACCUGAAAAGGUCUAUGUUGCUUCAUUUUACCCCAAUGUAUGUUAAUAGAAUGUUGUACCUAUAUAAUAUAUACAACUUUCAGCAACGGAUCUCUUGGCUCUC
rnacentral:misc_RNA from 1 species